GGGGAUAUAGCUCAAUUGGCAGAGUGUUUGCCUCGCGUGCACAAGGUCCUGGGGUUCAAUCCCCAGCAUGACCC
rnacentral:tRNA from 1 species